rnacentral:rRNA from 1 species
GUCCACGCCGUAAACGAUGAUAACUAGCUGUCGGGCUCUUGGAGCUUCGGUGGCGCAGCUAACGCAUUAAGUUAUACGCCUGGGAGUACGGCCGCAAGGUUAAACUCAAAGGAAUUGACGGGGCCUGCACAAGCGGUGGAGCAUGUGGUUUAAUUCGAUGCAACGCGAAGAACCUUACCUACCCUUGACAUCCAGAGAAUCUGUUAGAGAUAGUAGAGUGCCUUCGGGAACUCUGAGACAGGUGCUGCAUGGCUGUCGU